rnacentral:rRNA from 1 species
GACGAACGCUGGCGGCGUGCUUAACACAUGCAAGUCGAACGGAAAGGCCCCUUUGGGGGUACUCGAGUGGCGAACGGGUGAGUAACACGUGAGUAACCUGCCCUUGACUUCGGGAUAACUUCAGGAAACUGGGGCUAAUACCGGAUAGGAAUCCUUGCUGCAUGGUGGGGGUUGGAAAGCUUCGGCGGUUUUGGAUGGACUCGCGGCUUAUCAGCUUGUUGGUGGGGUAGUGGCUCACCAAGGCUUUGACGGGUAGCCGGCCUGAGAGGGCGACCGGCCACAUUGGGACUGAGAUACGGCCCAGACUCCUACGGGAGGCAGCAGUGGGGAAUAUUGCACAAUGGGCGGAAGCCUGAUGCAGCAACGCCGCGUGCGGGAUGACGGCCUUCGGGUUGUAAACCGCUUUCAGCAGGGGCGAAGCUUGUGGUGACGGUACCUGCAGAAGAAGCACCGGCUAACUACGUG